CUUUACAAUAAGGGUACACAAUUUAGCAUUAGCUAUUAGUUAAGCAUUAACAAACACUUAAUUCAUCAUUAUUAAGUAUGUUUUCAACAUUACUUAAGGAUUAACAAAUGUGCUUUUC